GUGAGGAAUAUUGGUCAAUGGGCGAGAGCCUGAACCAGCCAAGUCGCGUGAAGGAUGAAGGUUUUAUGAAUUGUAAACUUCUUUUGCAGGGGAAUAAAGUACGGUACGUGUACCGUUUUGUAUGUACUCUGCGAAUAAGGAUCGGCUAACUCCGUGCCAGCAGCCGCGGUAAUACGGAGGAUCCAAGCGUUAUCCGGAUUUAUUGGGUUUAAAGGGUGCGUAGGUGGAUUGAUAAGUCAGCGGUGAAAGUUUGCAGCUUAACUGUAAAAUUGCCGUUGAAACUGUCGGUCUUGAGUGCAAAUGAGGUAGGCGGAAUGUGUUGUGUAGCGGUGAAAUGCUUAGAUAUAACACAGAACUCCGAUUGCGAAGGCAGCUUACUGGGAUGCAACUGACACUGAUGCACGAAAGCGUGGGUAUCAAACAGGAUUAGAAACCCGAGUAGUCC
rnacentral:rRNA from 1 species